GCUUAAUCAGCGUUUGUCAUCGUUGCGGCAGCAGAUCAGCUCUCCCACGUAAUUUCUCGAGAAAUUACUUUUUCUAGUUAUUAUUAUUAUUAUUAUUUUUCUUCUACUUAUUCCGCCCUUUUUUUGAUUGCUAUCUACUUUUUAACGCUUCAUCGUAGAAUCGUCGUUCAACUUUCUAA
rnacentral:lncRNA from 1 species